rnacentral:rRNA from 1 species
AUGUACAUGCCUACAACAUUAAUGCACCAAAUUCCAUCAGAACUCCAUUAUUAAGUGUGCUUGGGAUAGAGUAGUAUUGGGAUGGGUGACCUCCUGGAAAGUCUUAGUGUUUUACAUU